GGCCAUUCGUUCGCGAGGUAUUGACGGGUAGUGUUGAGCAUCAAGUUCUUUACACAUUGGUCGUUGCCGUACGGUUGGUCCUCUGUUGUCGCGGGUCAAGUUUUUCGUCGCUAUUCAGCAGUUGUAUGCUGGUUACAACGCUACUCGUAUUGACAUACUCGUUCAGUAACUAGGUUUAUUUUGUUCCUCCGCUUGGAUGCCUUAAGCCCAAUUUCGACUAUGUUUUGAAGAAGACUUGCAUCCUCACAGGAGUUUUUGGUAGCUAUUUUUCCUUCAGUAUUAAAGGGUUCUGUUGAUCAGAGCAGCGUUGGCGAUAGUGUUCAAUAAUACCCUUUUCAGUUACAGUAAGGUAACUGUGCCAGAGGGAAUCAAAGCAACUGCAACUGAGCGGAAGUAAAUCAGCAAUGUAAGGGGCUUUAAUUUUAAUAAUCUACUAAGUAGGUUUAUAACCCUGCUGACCUUCAUAUCAAAUGUUUCAGCUUCCAAGAGUGUAAGGCUUCAUGAAUGUAGAGCAAAAAACAUAGGUUUGACCACAGAAGAUUUUGCACAGUUAAGAGCUGUAUCAGAGUUGGUGGUUUGAUAGGAAGUGUUUGGAUGAUUGUCAUUGAAUGUUAUCAAAUUUUAGUGGAAUAUUGCUUUAAUUCCUAACUGGUUUAAAGAUUAAAUACUUUUAAGGUAAGAUAAUUUAAAGGGCUGGCAACUGUU